AUCCUAAUGAGGUUAACAUCGAAAUCGGAACGAUACAGAGGUGAUUAGCAUGACCCCUGCAGAAGGAUGACACACACAAAUUGUGAAAUGGUCCAAAUUUUU